rnacentral:misc_RNA from 1 species
ACGAAAUCCCUCUCGCCAAGGCCCAGGCUCAAGCCCAGUCAGGACCGCCGGGGCCGCCACCACAGGUGGCGGCUCCGGCGGCGGACCCGGUGCCGCCGCCACCAGCUCCGGUGGCGGCGUCGCCGGCACCCGUAGACGGUCCUAGAAAGACCGUGGCUACCCCGUAUGCUAAGAAGCUGGCAAAGCAGCAUAAGGUGGACAUUGCCACAGUGGCCGGGACAGGGCCGUUUGGG